rnacentral:tRNA from 1 species
CAAAUUAAAGCUUAAAUUAAGUGUUUUAGUUACAUUAAAAGGAUGGUUGUGUAAUUCAAUCUAAUUUGA